GGGGAUGUAGCUCAGCUGGGAGAGCGCCUGCUUUGCAAGCAGGAAGUCAGGGGUUCGAAUCCCCUCAUCUCCA
rnacentral:tRNA from 1 species